GCCCGGGUCAUCUGGGGAGUAGCCACCCGCCUCCAGCGGGACCUGCCGUCAACAUACUUGGCCGAGAGGCCAUGGCGCGCAGGAGGACGGUGCAAGGACCGUUC
rnacentral:sRNA from 2 species